AUGAGCCCAGACUCAACCCAAGGGGAAAAACACCUUUCCGUGCGAUCAGAAGCUUCCAAAGUCUUCCGGAGGCGGCGGGACUUCCCUUCCCAAGAAAAAAGCAAGAGAGAAAAAAAGGUUGCAAAAUCCCCACGAAAAUUAAUCCAAGAAUCAGAAUGCACACAGGACCCGGGCUGCAAGGGAGUGAGCGCGCGGCCGCCGGGAGCCGCUUUAUAUAAACUCUCGGUUUGGGGGCGUGGCCUCUGGAGGCCUACGCCGUCCUCCCAUUGGUGUAUACACAAAGAGCUGAGUGCACCGCGCUGUGAUUGGCUGGUGGUUGAAAAGGCGGAGCUCAAGAGCAGACUGCCCCACGUGGGGGUCAGGGCUGGGAGGAGGGCAAACCGGAGCAGCCCUGAGUGCCAGAAAAGCGAGCGAGCGAGAGAGAGAAAAAACCACACACGCAGACACAAAAAAACAGAAGUUUCUCUCCUGAUUUCCCGGCAGCCGCGCUACGCAGGCCGCGCGCGGGGUUUCCAGCGCGCGAGUCUGGCCUGGACUUUCGGGGAGGGCUGUCUGGAAUCCCCUCCCUGUCCCCGGAGAGUCCCCCAGCCUUUCCCAGGCACUGCUCUGGAAAGGGCUGUGCAUGGGGCCCGAGGACCCCGUCUGCAGCCCGAUGCCUCCCAGGAUGGCAACUUUUUGUGCGUUGGGGGGGGUCUUGCCCAUCUUUGGAGACCCUGGACCUUAGGAAGGAGCCAUGUAAAGGUGGAAGAAGAUGAAGCUGUCUUCUGACUGCAGAAUGCACACACCGGCACACACACAGAGAAAGAUAACACAAUUCAAACAAAAUGGUAAUUAACUCUUGAGGUUGUCCACGUACUGGACAGAAAUGAGUUUCUGACCCAGGUGGGCUGACGAACCCCAGAGUUGACUCAACUAUCAAGUACAACUUUCCUACACAUAUGCAACUUAGAUUAAGUUUAAUUUCUCUCAGAGGACGGGGGUAUCAGCUCUGUCAUUUACCAUGUAGAUCCUUAGGAUCUAACAGGUCAUCAGGCUUGCAGCAAGUCCCUUUACCCACUUAUUUUGAGAGGGUAUUUGUUACCAGCAAAAGCUGACUAAUACACACACACACACACACACACA
rnacentral:lncRNA from 1 species